rnacentral:rRNA from 1 species
GACGAACGCUGGCGGCGCGCCUAACACAUGCAAGUCGAGCGAGAACCAGAGCUUCGGUUCUGGGGAAAGCGGCGAACGGGUGAGUAACACGUGGGUAAUCUGCCCUCGGCGCCGGGAUAGCCCGGGGAAACCCGGAUUAAUACCGGAUGGCCUCUCGCGCUCUCGGGCGCGAAAGAAAAGGUGGCUUCGGCUUCUGGCCGAGGAUGAGCCCGCGGCCGAUUAGCUUGUUGGUGAGGUAAUGGCNCACCAAGGCUCCGAUCGGUAGCUGGUCUGAGAGGACGAUCAGCCACACUGGGACUGAGACACGGCCCAGACUCCUACGGGAGGCAGCAGUGGGGAAUCUUGCGCAAUGGGCGAAAGCCUGACGCAGCGACGCCGCGUGCGGGAAGAAGGCCUCGGUGUAACG